GGUUUUGAGAGUUGGAUCUCAAAAUAGGAGGGCUACCCAGCGGUUCCCUAGAAUGUGAACAAUGCAAACGUCUACUUUCCCUUAGGAGUUCCGUAAGGAGGAAAAGGGACAGGGAGAUGGUCACCAUGUGUCUAACCUGGUGGGAAUGCAGGAGAGGAUUGGCAUGGGCGGCAGGUUCUGUAAAAACACAUUGGCUCCGGCUGCUUGACAGUGCUAUUCAAACCUUGCGUAUCUUACUGAAUUUUUCUCUCCUGCUCUCUCAGUUAUUAAAGGAGUGUUGAAUUCUCUG
rnacentral:lncRNA from 1 species